UUUCAUUGAUUCUCAAGAAAGUCCGUGAUUAAGUAUCCCUGCCCAAAGGUGAGGAUGCAUUUUCAGGGGUCACAUGUGUUCCAGUUUGUGGAAAAUGGUGUUCCAGGCUGUGUUUCCAGCAAGCUGUGGCAAGAAUCAGCCUUUUAGACCGAAGGGGUACAAGGACAAAAGAAGAAGGAAAAGGUAG
rnacentral:lncRNA from 1 species